GUGCAGCAGUCGCGAAACCUCCGCAAUACACGAAAGUGUGACGGGGCCAUCCCGAGUGCCGUCCGCUGAGGACGGCUUUUCCCCAGUGUACAUAGCUGGGGGAAUAAGGAGAGGGCAAGCCUGGUGUCAGCCGCCGCGGUAAUACCAGCUCUCCGAGUGGUGGGGACGCUUAUUGGGCCUAAAGCAUCCGUAGCCGGCUAGGCAAGUCCUCCGUUAAAUCCAACGAUUCAAUCGUUGGGCUGCGGGGGAUACUGUCCAGCUUGGGGGGCGGGAGAGGCCGACGGUAUUCCCGGGGUAGGGGUGAAAUCCUAUAAUCCCGGGAGGACCACCAGUGGCGAAGGCUGUCGGCUAGAACGCGCCCGACGGUGAGGGAUGAAAGCUGGGGGAGCGAACCGGAUUAGAUACCCGCGUAGU
rnacentral:rRNA from 1 species